GUAACAAACCGUUUUGUUUCUUUUCUUCGGUCUUGCAGUCUCAAAAGUCUCCGCCGUUUCAUUACCGCGUUCGUUUCGGACGUCUCUAAGCAAACAGAAAUGCCGUCGGAGCGCCGUGUUUUUGUUUAUUUAUUUUUACCCGGUAUUGCGUAAUUGGAUUUGCUCUGAAUGGCCUUUGAGAGCCUCCUUGUAGCAUCGUGAACAGUGAAUUACCAAGCAGUAGGUGGUAAACAUCAGGUCUUCGAAUAAUAUCAGUUACCGCCUUACGCAACGCUCACAACAUGUUGCUCGAACGUCUCAUAAACACGUUUAUCUUUAGGGAACAAUCCUAGAUGAAUAGGUAUAAAUAAAUAGGCUUUAAAAAAUAGCUCUGGACAAGCACAUGUCAUGGAACUACAAACACGACUCCAUCUGAGCUCUCAAGCGGAGUCACCUCUCAUCUCUGGCUGGAGGAUUAAAAAAAAAAAAUGUUUAAAAAAAACCAAAAAAACAACACGUUCUUUUUCAAACCUUCACGUCUUUGUAAGGCGAUGAAGAGCGUGAGUCGCAAGGCCGUCGGGGUCUCCUCUGCUCUCGGCUCGAUCUUGUCUCUCCGCUCCUCAGAGCUUUGGCAUGAAAAGCAUCCUCUGGGGACAGAGAGGAAAAGCUCAGGUAAGGAGACGUCUUCGGGGCACUGGAAGACGCUCGGGUGAAAGAAACACAUGGCAGAUGGACUUUAAGAGUAAACUGCUUGCUAUGAUUUUGAUUUAUUUAUUUUAUUUUUUUUUCCUUUUUUUCUGUGUUCCUCCAGAGCUCCAGGUCACUCGAGGUGUCAAUACAUUGAUCCUUUAUAUCCUGCUACACACCACAGCGCUGUCGAAUUCUUGAUUCUGAUUGGCCGGCGACUCGGAGGGUACGGAAGGAGUCUCCAGUGUCAGAGGAGAUGGAGGAGUUUACGCUUACAUGGAUUCUCUGUAACAUGACGAGAAAGGCCGCUGUAACGUAAGUGAGAACAGGAACUAACUCGUCUCACGUUCCACAACGUUGAAUGUAACUAUAAACGGAUAAAAACUACGCCAAUGUUCUUGUACAAGAGGAAUAAAACACGACAGAAUGCUGUCAUUGAAAAAACAAUUAUUCAUCUUCGAGGUGGCAACAGCGACGCUGCUUCAUAACACCCCACCCUGAAGUUGAUUACUUUCCUAUAACAGCACCACGCUAAGUGUUUUAACGCGCUGAAAUAGCUUACUCCCAAGUUUUAUUUGUUAAUUUUUUUGAGCUAAUUUGAUUUUUCGCCCCUGAACACAAAACAAACAGGUGCGUAUUCACUGCCAGCCCGUUUGAUGUGGAGCGCUUAAACGUUUCGUUUUUUUUUUACAGUAGCAAUCGCUCGAGUUAUUCGAUCUCUCUCGUGAAAUCAAUUAGCAUCUCAUCUAGAGACGAGGAGCCGCAUGAGAUCUUAGCAUUUCACAGCGGUUUGACUCCUCGCCCAUACGGUCGUGUCACUUAUUUCCACGGUUUUUGCUAGAACGUCCUAUAAAACCCUGGACAUCUUGUAGACAAAAACGAAAGUGCUACGUACAGAUUAAUUACGCUCCUCGCAGAAAACUUCACCAUGUCAACGGUUGCGCAUGUUUUUUAAUCCGAUUACACGGCCUGCCCGGUGAACGAGCUGCUACUAUAGAAACGAUUAUGCAGUGAUAUAAAUCCUGCUGCUGUUACUGAAAAUGAAUCGACACCUUCCGACCAAUCGGAUUUCCGUGUUGCAGAAAUAUCAGAAACUGGACGUUAUUUGUUCUCUAUAAAGUUUUACACUGCAUAUGUUUUGAAUGUAUGCAAGAGAGAGAGAGAGACAAAAUGAAGAGCAGAGAGAGGGGGAGGGGUUUCAUGUUAUUAGCAUUAAAAAGACCGCCCACUAUUUGAAGCUUUUGCCUCAUCUGCUGAAUCAUAAUUUCGUUCAAAAUCUAAUGCCCUCGCAGGCCAAGGACACUGAUGGCUAAGGCCUUACUCACUCCUGGGAGCUUGUGCUUCCUAGUGUGUGUGUGUGUGUGUGUGUGUGUGUGGGGCCGGCGGUCUCUGCCCUAGCCCAUCUGCUACUUUUCCCACAACCUUAUUUGAGCUGUCGAGAAGCGUGUGUAAAAAGUGACGCAAGUGCAAUCAACACAUGAAUUAAAAUGUCAUUUGUUCUGACUUGGAGGGGGGAGGAAGAAAAAAAACCCCCACACGCCGUCGAUUUGACGAGAUAACAGAGUGGUAAUGAAAAAACAUUCUGAAAUACGACCGCCGCGGGCACAUCUGGACGAAGUUAAAAACGACUAACGGUUCAGUUUAAACGGACAGAAAUAAAAUCGCCGAUUACGUGUUUUUCUUUUCUUAAAAAUUCCUUUCAAUAAACGAAGCCGUUACAUAUUUUCACCCACAACUGCCUUGUUGAGAUCAAUGACAAUCUCAUGAUCGCGCUAUAAUAUCAAUAGAACUCGUUCACCAACGAAAUAACACCAAUCAUUCCACUAUAUGGCAAAUAUCUCGUGUUUCGAAUAGCUGUACAAGCAGGCAGGAUGACGGUCUGUUUAAGAAACGGAAAGCGUUUGGGGGAAAAAAAAAAAGGUUAAAAAUUAUUUCCGUGGCCCGUCUCAGUACAGAGCGCUUGCUAUGAUUAGACUGAACUUUGUAAUUAUGGAAUAAAGCUGCGUAAGCGAAGGGACAAUGAAUAAAUAAAGACCUUGAACAUUAUCUCCACUAAUACGCCUCUCUCUCUCUCUCUCUCUCUCUCGCUCUGUUUCUCUCAG
ensembl:lncRNA